GGGUCCAUUGCAGAUGUAAUGGUCGGCCCAUCCAAAAACAUAUAGGCUCAAUGCCUUGGAACUCAACCGAUAUUAUAUAGUGGUAUUAACCAAAAUCUAAAACAAUAAACCUGAUGGCUUGUGUUCAAGUAAUAUUAAGUCUGAUGAUGCAUUUGCCAAUAAAAGAAACUAGAAGGGCUUAGACUCAAAUGGCCGAAGGGAUAAGGUUCCCUAUCGUCAUCCACUCAUCCUCGAUGCAUCACAAACCCAUCGAUUUGUUUAGUUCUGCACAGAGGCACCGAUGCUGCGGUUCAUGGCGCCGCCGGCCGUAGCCAGAGGGCUUGCUCGUACAACGCCACGCGCCAGAGGGCGUUGCCGGCCGUCGGUUUCUGCGCCGUGCCGGAGGACGUCGCCUCCACUGCCGCUCAUGGUGCGCUCACGCCGAAGGGCUGGAUAGCCGCGUCGUGGUUGGUCGCUCCGUGGGAGCCGCCCUGAGGUCGAGAGCCUCGGAUGAUGGCCAUGUGGCGGGCUCGUCGCUGUGCGCCGAGGAUUCAGACCGAUGGAGGGCGCCGCCGGGGUGCGUCGGGCGCAGAGGGUGUCGCCUCUGCCUGGGCUGUGGACCGCGCUGCCGCGCGCCUGAGGGCAUUGCCAUGCCGGGCACCGGCCGUUGGCCGCUGCGGCCGCCUCCGGGUGCAGGCUGGGAGCAGCCGGGCCGAAGGUUUCCGCCGCUCCGCUAGGAGCCUGGCCGAGGCAGCGUUGUCCGGGCCAUGGGUCGCCGCCGAAGUUUGCCUUGGACGGCAUGCAAACGACGCCCUGGAGAUCGAGAGAUUCGCCGCGCCUGGGCCGUGAACGCCUCGGGCUGAUGCGGGAGGUCGAGGCCACGCGACCACGCGCCGGCUGGAGACUUGCGCCGCCGUGCCGUUCUGCAGCGUGAGGCGUGCACGCAUCACGCACCGGUGGGCUUGGACUGUCGCCAGUUCCGCGUUGCUCGCAGGCGAGCCGUUCGUGAAAACGCUCCGCCGGGGACAACGCGAUGCGUCAAAGAGGUCUGGGCUCGCACUCGUUCGGCUGUCUCUCGGCCAUCAAAGACAUCGCCGGUGACGGAUUGAUAGUGUGCGGGCGCCGCCGGCGCUGCCAGUUUGUUUAGUGGCCUAAUCGCUUGCUCGGGUCGGGUUAGGGCAAAGGGCUGAUAACAUGUUGAAUGUAAAAGUGAUUGAAUGAAGGAAAGGCUCCUGAUUUCAUUGAUUCUCAAGAUAUAUAUACACUCGGU
rnacentral:rRNA from 1 species